ensembl:ncRNA F57G12.14 ncRNA
UAUGAAUAGCUGAGAAAUUGGUAGCCGGGAGGCUCAUUGCCAGCCACAUAACCGUUUCCUGCACUUUUAUGUAGGGGGGUAAUUGUUGGCGGCGGGCUUGCCAAAAGACAUCCAAAGCAACAAUUUGACUUUUGGCCGAAUGAGACAUCA